CCUCUCAAGCGGGUUCCAAUGUGAAGAGCUUCCUGGGAGCUGUGUAACACACUAUGGCCAGGAUUCUCCAGAUCUUUUCUUGUAUCAUCUAAUGGCACUCAGAAGUCCACUGGUCACGCUCUUCUCUUCUGAAAGCAGCCACGUGUUCUUCAGCAGGAAUGGAAUAUCAAGAUUAAGACUCAACACUAGCCCAAUUUUAUUGUCGAUUUCUCCACUCAGAAAAUAGAAGUUUGUAAUGGAAUUCCUGACACAGGCUCCGCUCUAAUAAAUGACAAGAUGAACCAAUAAACUACACCAAGAGCCUAUUACCAGAAG
rnacentral:lncRNA from 1 species